AAGGGGACUGCGGAGGAUCAUUCACACAUUUCGUCGCACAACGGUUUCCGACCGGCUUCCCAGCCAUAAUUGACAUUAUGGUGGUGGGGCUGUGUGGGGUGCCGGCGGGAAAAUGGACCUCCUGGAACCGAACCCAACCCACCCUUGAAUCCGGUUUUUCCUUCCCCCCCACGGUUUUUUUUCUUUCUGAAAAUUUUAAUAUCAAUGCAUCUCUAGAUUUCUGGCCCCCCCCCAGAAAGGGUAUAUAUAUAUAUAAAUGGCAGGAGAGGUGUGUGGAUAUGCUCGUGAGUGUGUCAUUAUAUCUAUAUAUAUGCUGGCGAAUUGGAUAUUGUAUAGGGCUCAGAUGUUUCUUGCAUAAUAUAAUAUUAUAGACCUGAAAUCAGUCGAGUACCCCGAU
rnacentral:misc_RNA from 1 species